rnacentral:rRNA from 1 species
UGGGGAAUCUUGCGCAAUGGGCGGAAGCCUGACGCAGCAACGCCGCGUGCGGGAAGAAGGCCUUAGGGUCGUAAACCGCUUUCAGGGGGGACGAAGCUUCCGGGGUUAAUAGCCUACGGGGUGACGGUACUCCCAGAAGAAGGUCCGGCUAACUACGUGCCAGCAGCCGCGGUAAUACGUAGGGACCGAGCGUUGUCCGGAAUCAUUGGGCGUAAAGAGCGUGUAGGCGGCCUGGUAGGUCUCGUGUGAAAUCCCGCGGCUCAACCGCGGAUCCGCACGGGAAACCCCCAGGCUCGAGUCCGGAAGAGGAGAGUGGAAUUCCUGGUGUAGCGGUGAAAUGCGCAGAUAUCAGGAAGAACACCCGUAGCGAAGGCGGCUCUCUGGGACGGUACUGACGCUGAGACGCGAAAGCGUGGGGAGCAAACA